AAUCCUAGGGCCCUUAAGAAUUAUGCUAAAUCUAUUCUGCCUGUUCUCUAUAAAUGCAACAAAGCCUAGAUGACAGCAUAUCUGUUUACAACAUGGUUUACUGAAUAUUUUAAACCCACUGUUGAGACCUACUGCCCAGAAAAAAAUUCCUUUCAAAAUAUUACUGCUCAUUGACAAUGCACCUGGUCACCCAAGAGCUCUGAUGGAAAUGUACAAGGAGAUUAAUGUUUUCAUGCCUGCUAACACAACAUCCAUUCUGCAGCCCAUGGAUCAAGGGUUAACUUUGACUUUCAAGACUUGUUAUUUAAGAAAUACAUUUCUUAAGGCUAUAGCUGCCAUACAUGGUGAUUCCUAUGAUGGGUCUUCGCAAAGUAAAUUGAAAAUCUUCUGGAAAGGGUACACCAUUCUAGAUGCAAUUAAGAACAUUCAUGAUUCAUGGAAGGAGGUCAAAAUAUCAUCAUUAACAGGAGUUUGGAAGAAGUUGAUUCCAACUCUCAUGGAUGACUUCGAGGAGUUCAGGGCUUCAAUGGAGGAAGUAACAGUGGAUGUGAUGGAAAUAGCAAGAGAACUAGAAUUAGAAGUGGAGCCUGAAGAUGUGACAAUUGCUGCAAUCUCAUGAUAAAAUUUUAACAGAUGAUGAGUUGCAUCUUAUGGAUGAGCAAAGAAAGUGGUUUCUUGAGGAGGAAUCUACUCCUGGUGAAGAUGCUGUGAACAUUGUUGAAAUGACAACAAAGGAUUUAGAAUAUUACAUAAACUUAGUUGAUAAAGUAGCAGCAGGUUUUCAGAGGAUUGACUGCAAUUUUGAAAGAAGUUCUGUGGGUAAAAUGCUAUCAAACAUCAUCACAUGUUACAGAGAAAUCUUUCACGAAAGUAUGAGUCCACCGAUGUGGCAAACUUCAUUGUUGUCUUAUUUUAGGAAGUUGCCACAGCCACCCCAACCUUCAGCAACCACUUCCCUGAUCAGUCAGCUGUCAUCAGCAUCAAGGCAAGAUCCCCCAGCAAAAAGAUUACAACUCCCUGAAGGCUCAGAUGAUGAGAUGGUAGGAAAGCCCUGAUCCUGGACCUGAUACUACAGCUAUUCAUGUGGACCAGUGACGAACAACACAUGGGACUGUAGCAUGUAACUCUCCUGGACUCCAGUGCAGCUGCACAGCUUACAAGCAGUCCUUCUACCACAGACGCUGCAUCCACAGAAACUCAUCAAUCUCUUGGCCUCCCUGUGUGAAAAAGAAACUUUCCAGCUAGCCACAGAAAAAGUCUUCCUUGGACAUCAGGCUGUGCAUCAUCAGCUGAAACCCUGUGGGCUCAGGUCUCCCAAAUUUCUCCUCCUGAUUCCAGAUCCUGGGAUACCCACACUCAGAGGCUUAGCCUUGACUCCCUUCCCUCUUCCCCUCCUCUCUUCCCUAGUAGGAAGGUCUGUCCCUGUCUUCAGAUAUAUCUCCAAUGACCUUCACACCAUCCUGAAUUCAGCUGUGGCAUCUUUGCAGAACAUCUCCCUUGCAGAACAUCCCCCUUGCCUGUGGCCUGGCUCAUCCUUCUCCUAAGAAGUUUCCCCAAAGCUGCUGCUAAUAUAGAGAGAGGAGAAACUACUUUCUACUGAAUACCAAAUGUAACCAAUAUAUUGGGCAGUCUGAGCUUAGUGAAAAACAAACAAGAAAUGGCUUUAUUUUUCUCAAGCAACUGCCCUCAGACAUGCCCAGUCAGACCUCUCUGACAUCUUCAGGCAAUGCAGAACUUUCUGGUGAAUAACUUUCAUGUAUGAAGAGCCUCGGAUUCCAGAUAAAGAUAUGAACUCUCGCCUCUAAUCCUGUUCCUUCUCCAAAUCCUGCUAAAAUGGCAUUGAGGAGAUUUUUAAAGGCACAAACCCACAAGAUGUGGAGAACAGGAAAGGAAACAGCAACAGUGCAGUGGAAGGGGGCACGGUAUCUGUCAGGCAUGUGUCUGAAGUACACUUCACUGAGUUCACUUUCACAACAGCAGUUCAAGAGCUCCCAGAUUCACACAGGACUUUAUAACCAAGAAAACAAAAGAAAGAAAGAAACCUGGAAAGCAUUUGGACGAGUGGUAAUUGAUCUUAACUAAACAGGAAGUGGAAAAAGCUGAGCGCCAACCAGUAUCUCAUACCUUUGUGAGUAGGGUGGCUUGAUGGGUAAAAUAAGGAAGAUUGUUUGAAAGCUGAUUAAGAAAUUGUUAGACAAAAAGAGUACGUACUAUAUGAUUUCAUUUAUAUAAAACUCUAGAAAAUGUAAACUAAUUUAUAGUGACAGAAAACUGAUCAGUGGUUACUUGGGAUGGAGCCUGGAGGAGAAUGAAUAUAAAGAGGCAUGAAAAAACUUGAGGGCAAUGAAUAUGUUCACGCUCUUGACUGUGGUGAUGGUUUCAUGGGUAUAAGUCAAAACAUAUACACAUGUGUAGCUUAUUAUAUGUCAGUUUUACCUCAGUAAAGCUGUUGUUUUUCUUUUGUUUUGUUUUAAUGGCAAGGCUGUGGGGAAAUUCUCAUUUGUUGCUAAUUGGCUCGGUCUUUUUGGAGAGCCUGGAUAAUAAUAAAAAUGACAUUAACAGAAAAGGGGAAAAAAGAAAUUGUUAGAGAUCCAAACCUUCUUUCCCCAUUCUAGCAUACAACAGGAAGUUUAGUCUGUAAAAAUUGUAAAAUAAAGAGUCUUUGGACAGGGGAACACCAGGCACGUUUGAAUGUGGAAGAAAGUACUGAAAUAGGAUGAAUAAUGAAAGCAUGCACAUGUAAUGUUGAUAAUCCUAUGUUCUCCCCCACACUACUUGCAGAAGGCUAUUGUUAAGCCUUUAUCCCUCAGGCAGGAAAGUAAAAGAGCCUUCCCUGGGGAAUCAGGGCAAUAUUAAUAUUAGUGGUUCCCCAACCCAGUGGCUUUGCCAGAUUCAUCCAACAACAAGGCUCACAAUCAACAAGGCAUACUUGUACUCAGAACUUCCAAUCAGGUUUUUAGUUGCCUGUUGUUAAAUAUAAGCAGAAAACCAAGGAUUACUAAACAUCUGCAGAAAGUUGUAACAAGACCGAGAUCAAAACAAAUUGAUUUUUUUUUAAUGAGGUAGAGGAAAGAAACUACACAAAGAGAAGAAAACUUUAAAAAGUAAAAAAGUUUUGUAUCUUCAGAGUAAUAAGAUAGUAGAACCAUUAAACAAGAAUAAAAUACUACAGGAAAUAAGUAGGGGAAAAUAUUCAAAGAACAAAAAAAUAUGAUAAGAGAAUGAAAACUCAAUAGUUUCAUUGAGUUGGGAAAUAAAGUUGAGGAAAUCUCCCAGAAAGUAAAGCCAAAGGUUAGAGACUUGGAAAAUAGGAGAGUAUUGAUAAGAAUAUUAGAGAACAGAUCCAGGAGGUUCAGCAGAUAAAAACAGAGGUUCCAGAAAAUGAGACAAGAGGAUAAAAACGUAGAGGAGAAAAUAAUCAAUUUUUUGAAAACUUGAAGGACAUGAAUUUCCACACUGAAAUGGCCCAUUCAUUCUUUAUGCAUAUCAUAAUGAAUGAAAAAAGCCCCACACUACCAAAUUUCAGAACGCUGAGGAUAAAGAGACAGCCCUACAAUUUUCCAGAGACAAAACAAGUCACAUGGAAAGAAUCAGACAUUUGAAUGGUGUCGGACUUCUCAGCAGCAAUAUUGGAAGCUAGAGGAAAUUGGAGCAAUGCCUUCAACAUCAUGAAGGGGAAUUAUUUCCAACCUAGAAUUCUAUUUCCAGCCAAACUAUCAACUAACUGGCAGGGUAGAGUAAAGACAUUUUCUGGCAAACAAGUUCUAAAAAUUUAUUUUGUAUGCAUCUUUUCCCAAGAAGCCACUGAUGAAACAAAAGUGAGUAAAUGAUGACAGGGGAAUACAUGGGAAACAAGCAGCAGAAGACCCAAUGCAGGAGUGAGAUGAAGGCAAUUCUGGCAGUGAAGGGAGAUCCCAAGAUGAAGCUGUGCCCACCAGUAAAGGGAGCCACCAAUCCAAAUCAGAGCAGUUUGAGAAGACUUUUAGAAAAAGAUUUUUUUCUAAGAUUAAAAAAGAAUUGCUGAAUGCAUCUGAAUAUCCUGAGUAGAUUUGAAAAUUAGUGGAAAAUUUAAAGUUGAAUUAAUGAUAAUCAGAGGUGGAUUUACUGUGAAGCUAAUCAAGCUUAAAAUUCAGGACACUUUACCUGCAAGGGCCCUUUCCAAGGCCCUUGUACCUAUUUUGUAUUUGUAAUUUUACAUUUGUUUUCUUUAAAAGGGCUACCAAGAUAAAAUAUAUGCAGCCCUGGUGAUAAGUACAUAGAAAACUAAGCAAGUAAAAAAAGGUAAUUAUUAACUCAUGGGAAAAUAAAAUGUUGGACUGGAAAGGAAAAGUACAUAGUUUGACAAAUGGCUCAUCUCUGAAUAGCAUUUACAUAUUCAUAAUAAUAUAAACACUGAUUAUCGAUCUAAGAAAAUUAAGAUGUAACUAUAUUAGGAGAGGGGUCCCUGGGUGGUGUAAAUAGUUAAGCAGUCAACUACUAGCCAAAAGUUUGACAGUUCAAACCCACCCAGGGGCAUCUCUGAAGAUAGGCCUGGCAAUCUAUUUCUGAAAACCCUGUGGAGCAGUUCUCGUCUCACACACAUGGAGUCACCAUGAGUCAGAAUCGAUUCGAAGGCACCUAACAACAACAGCAAAAUAUUAGAAUGAGCCAAUAGGAAAAGUGGAAGUAUGUGGUUGAGACUGGGGCCAGAAAAAAACCUAAAUCCUUAUUUUCCAACCUGCAGAGACAAUUGUCAAUGCCUAAAAGAAGUAUCAGUGCAAGCCUACCAUUAAGAAAAAAUGGAUUAUAUACCAAAUGGGGAAGGAUAGAAGGGAAAAAGGACAGGAGUUUGAUUUUUUUUUUUUUUUGGUAACAAAUCUAACAGAAUGGAAUGACUCUUUACCUACAUACAGAGCUCUGUGCUAUUAUAUAAAAAAAAAAAUACUGGAUUCUAAAAGAGAAGAAAAACAGUCUCACUUCAGUAACUAAAAUUCUCUUCCAGAUUAGUCGACCUAUUCUAAAUCAAAAUUUCAACUUUAUAUUCAUAAUCAAAACUUAAAUCCCACAGGUGAUCAUUACACCAAUUCCUUACUCUGAAAAGUAGAAAUCAAAGAGAAAAUAAUUUAACAUUGUGUGUGUGUGUGUGUGUGUGCGCAUGUGUGUGUGUGUGAAGGAAGCGUGACAAAGUAUCGAGGGUCAUUGGUUUAGGAAGAUGAUGUUCAUUGUGCAACUCUUUCAACUUAUUUGUAUGUUUGAAAAAACUCAUAAGAAUUAGGGGUGUGCUAAAAAACCAAAACCAAACCCAUUGAUGUCAAGUUGAUUCCCAGUCACAGCGACCCUAAUAGGACAGAGAAGAACUGCCCCAUAGGGUUUCCAAAGAGCACCUGGUGGGUUCAAACUGUCAACCUUUUGGUUAGUAGCCAAACCCUUAGCCACUACACCACCUGGGUACUCGCAGACUUAAAUUUUUCUGAGGUGUUCAGACCAAGCUCCUCAUGAAGGAUUAACCCUCACCACUUAUGAGUGAACAAGGAGAUCUUGUGAUGACUCCUGGAAAGUAUGUGGCUAGAAUGUCAAACGCCUGCUCUCAGAAAAUGUUUGCACAGGUUGGUUUCAGGAAACAUGUAAUGAAAAAAGUUCAUUAUCAACUAGUGUUUGGAGAAGGUCGCGUUAUAGAUCAUGGUCUCGCUUCAAAACCUUAUGGUAUUUCCUCAAUUUAGAAUAUAAAAGUACCCUUGUUCUGCAUGCUUGUUGGAGCACUUUGUAUUUUUAUCUUGUGCUGUCCAGUUAUAGCUGUUAUUAUUCCUCAAUAAAACUCUUUUUCUUUCACUUCUAACAAAGUAUGAGAUUUUCUCUGACAUUUCUGGUGUCAGAAGUGGGACUUCGAAGGUAUAUUGUCUUUUCCAAUUCCCGAGGCAUUGAGGACACAGACAUGGUACUACUGAGCCUCUUUGGGCUGUCCACCUCCACUAAUUCUUGGGAAUAAUUUAAAGUAAAAAAUCCCCUUGAAUCCAAGCUCCACUCCCUUGCACUGAUAGCUCCUCAAGUUUUGUUAUAGAAUUGUUUUGGUUCUUGCAAGCAAAAGUUUGUUUUGCUGCAGUGUGAACCCCAAUAUUUCUUGUGGGUUUGGUGAAUCGUAGCACUUAGGGCUGUCUCAUUGUGGGGUAUACUGAAUCCAGGAAAGCAGCUGAUUUUUCUAGUGGAACUCUGGCUUGCUACAUGGCCAAGAACUAUGAAUCUAGGUCUUUUUUGUAUUUGGAUUUUUGCUUGAGCUCCAUAAAAACGGUUUGUUAAAUCAGUGGCCACUUUAGGAUACUUCCCAACUGGAGAGACUAGUAUAUUUAAAGCCUAAAAUAAGAGACUGGGUCUCUAUCUGGCAGAAUGAAUUAGGUUCAGAAAGAAUGAAACCAGGUUUCCUAUGGUUGUUACAAAGGAAUCCCAGACUGUUUAAGUGGCAAAAAUAUGUGGGCAUAGGUCAAGCAUCUUAGAUGCCCUUAUAGCACUCACCACAGACAGAAAGACACCUGUGAAAGGAUAAGCUGGGACAUGAGAUGGGCCAGAGCACGAGGCUGCCCACCAGCUGCAAGGAAACUGUCAUGCAAUGGAGGCACACUGUAAAACAAAACACUGACCAAACUCCCUGGUAGGACUUUUAUUUGACUCUGGGAAACCAAAGUUUCAAGCUAUUCUUAACAUUCUUGAUAAAUGAGCCUGGAUUUCUCCCUUCUCCCAGGAUGCUGGUUUGAGGUUCAUGUUCAAAAACACUAUAAGCUAAAUAUACUAGAAGUAACUUGAAAUUUCAGUGAUCACUUCGGGAAAAUGAGUUUCCAUCUGCUCUUUUUUUCAUUCCAUUUUGAGAAAAGGAGUUCCAAUUUGCCUUGUCUUUUCUUUCCUCUGGGGAAACUUUGGUGCUCAGGUUUUGUCGGGGGGUCUGAUAUCCCUCCAACUGAGACUCAUGCAAGUUAAUAGGCUUUAUCUAGAACCUGUUUUUCUGUUGAAUUGGCUCAACCUUACCAAAGAAUUGCUGUACACAUUUUUAGAAACUGAGUUGUUUAUGUUGUGUGGUAUUGUAUAAGCCUGAUUUUUCAGCUGGCCUCAUAGGUCAGGGAGUUUAUGUGAUUUUUCUGUUUCUUUUUGUUCUGAGAGCUUGCUUCUGGUCUAAGAUGUUCUGUCCGAGUGUUUGUCUUGUAUCAAGUUGGAGGCCAUGGCUAGCAGUUGCUGUUUUUCAUGAGGCUGCCUUAAAUCUCCAUUCUUUUCUCUUCCAAGAGAAACUGCACCUGUCUUAUGAUCUGAGCUUUUAAUAACUACUUUGAGAAACUUUUAUAUAAAAUAAUCUAUUUGAAAAAUCCACUGGAAAAGGAUGAAUUAUUUUGAUUAGUAUAAUGAGGCUUUAAAAGGACAAAUUAUUCUAAAUUGGUUCUCCAAAGGAUCCUAUAAAGCAUGCAAAAGGCGGGGUUAUGAAAAUGUAAUAAUUCCCUAUCUCCAGAUGGCACUAUUAAAUUAGAUUAUAACAUUUCUUCAAAGAACUUACUCUGAUCAGUUUAAUGAUUAAUAAGCUUUUAUAUAACUUAAAUAGUGCUAAUAUUCCUAGGAAUUAAUGAAAAUAAAUUCAUUCUGACAAAGGUUUUUAUGUUUAUGUCAACCUUGGAAGCAAAAUCUUAAGAGUAAAACCUUUCUAAGUAACUUAAGCUAGAAAUGCAUUUUAUUUAGGGAAAAAGAAGUAAUUUUUAUUAACUCCAGAAUGAAAAGAAUUUAGGUAUCUCUUGUCUUUCAAAACACUUAGGCCAACUUAAACAUACGUAAAUGAAUUGAGAUAACAGAGUCUUUCUUGAUAAUGAGCCUUUGAGACCCAGGCUGCUCCAUAGAAGGUUUUGAAAAGACCCCUCCCAACCAAAUGAAAACUUUUUUUAGACAAAAGAAAAUAAGAUAAAUAAUGUGGACAUUAACGAGGUCUGAAAUAAGAAAAAUGCCUUCUUAAUGCAGUUACUGGAAAUUGGGUGGCUUCUCAACAUAAAAAAAAAUGGACAAAUCUAUUGGGAAAAUACAAAAAAUGGUAAAGAUUUGAAUAUAAAUAUAGACUAUUUAAACAAAUUUUACCUUAACAGUAAUUAUGUUUUGUAGUAGCUAGGCUUGAAUUAAUUUCCAAGAUUUUUAGGUAAGUUAUAUUAAGUUAAUGGAUAUUCAUUAUAAUUGUAGUUUAUAGCCUCUUACUUUUUAUGUCACAAAGAAAGGAUAUGUAUGUGUGUGUGUGUGGUAAUAAGUGUGUUCAUACUUGCCACUUACAAGGCUGUACUAUAAGAGAUAUGUAACAAACACAAGAAAUUUAAAAGAUUUAUUAAAAGUGAAUUUAUUUCAUAUGGUCAGAGUUCUUAUUUACUGCAGCUAAAAGUCUGAUGGGUUAAUGACAAUUUUUAAGAGAUUUAAUGUCAAGUAGUAUAUAAGGCAAAGAAGGGUUUCUCACUGUUAAGAUGACAAAAUCCUAUUUGAUUGCUGGUUUGAAGAGCUAAUUUUAUUCUUUGCACAAUCUGCCUUGAAGGCAAGGGUUUGACAAUAUAAAUCCCUGAGUCAAAAACCAAGCCACAUGGCUUUGGAAAAAGCUAGGGUUUUUAUCUCUAAGAUUUUUGGUUAAAUAACUCCAGUAUUUUUUCUUGGUGACCUAUGAUAAGCUUCUGACAACUUUGAAACUUCAUGGAAAGUCACAAAAUAUUUGUCUCUGUUUUAUAAAAAUUGCUUUAAAAAAAAGUUUACUUAAUGUGUUAUGAGUUACCUGAAACACGUUGUCAAAUCAGGAGACGUGCCAAAUCUUGUUUGAGUUAAAAUUUAUGUGUCAGUAAUGUUUGCCUGAUGUUAGACAACAAGCACAUUAUGUCAUAAUUUUAUUAUUUCAAUUACUAACUUGAUUGCAGCUUUGUUUCCUUUGAAUCUAGCAUCAAAGCCAUUGAUUUUAAACGAGGAAUUCACAUAAUUUACCCAUGGAGUUUUAUUACUAUUCAGAUGUUUAGAGACUUGAUAAUCUUGGUAUAUCUUGACUAUUUGUUAUUAUUCUCAAGAUUACUAUGUGUUAUAUCUGAAAUUCCUUGAAAAUAAUUUAGUCAUUAUGUUUAGAGAUAUUUUUGUGUAAAUUUUUUUAAUUGACCUUAUUUGGCUUUGCAUUACUUUUGUAAUUAAUUCCAUUAGCCCAUUUGCUUUUAAGAAUUAGUAUUAUAAGUUCACCAGGGACAUUUUUAAGUUGUCAUCUGCAGAUAAGUUUUCUGUUACUGAUUCACUGAAAAUGCUUGACCAAAAUAUUUCAACAAAAAUGGAGUAUAUCUCACUUGUGAAGAGGACUAUAGCAUUUCAAAAGUGGAUAUAAUUGGACUAAAUCAAGAUUUCUAGAACUUUUAUGUAGAAACUGAUGGAAGUUUUCAGGCUGCUGCUGAUCCAGAAUUGCAUGGAACUGAAAUUAACUAUAUAGGGCUGAGUAAACUAAAAGAAUUACUAUAAUCUUUAUAUGAGAAUAUUGCUGAUGUUCAAUGUUCUAUUUUCUAGCUACAAGAAACCAUUCUUUUUCUUUCCCUCUUUUAAUGUAAAAAUCCUCUAUUUCAGUAACUAGUAACACUAUGCUGACUACAGAAUAUCCUAUGGUAAUGAUUUUUCUCAUCUCCUGAUUCUUGCUAUUUCACUAGCCCAAAUGGCAUAUCUUGGUUAUAUAGCUAACCUUUGAACUUGGCCCCCACCUAGAUGGAUUAUUAGAUGUACUAUAGGAUUGAGCUGGACCCAAGAUCAAAUACUAACUGACUUACCUCUGUCAGUUGAUAGCCUCCUUUUAAGAGCUCUUUAGUCCAGAUCUAUAUUUCAAUGGUAUAAUCAUUUGACUUCUAUUUUUGUACCUCAAAUAGGAUUAGAAUAUGUCAUGGCACAAGUCAAAGUUCUGACUAAAUACAUUCAGAGUGUUUUAAAUGAUUCCACCCAUGAGCUCCAAGAAAAGAAUACUGAAAUGACUAUGAUGAGAGAAGUACUUCCUCAAAACUGAAUGGCCCCCGAUAUUCUUACUACUGCACCAAGAGACAUCUGUGCCACUAUGAAAAUUGAUUGUUAUGUUUAUAUUCCUGGUAAUAGUACUAAUAUCAUUCACUAUGUUUCCCAUAUGCAACGCAUAGUGUCAAAUUGCAAAGAUCCUGUUCUUUUCUUAACUGAUAUUAUAAGUAAUUGGUUUUCUACUCGGAGUAGAUAAUGGAAAAAAAAAAAAAGCUGCUUUAUUUUGAAAUCUUUAUAUUACUCAUAGUUUCUAUUAUUGUAAUUAUAAAAUGCUAUACUACUUUUUUUUUUUAUACUACUUUAGUUCAAUGCAUUUUAUUCAUGAAAUAUCAAGGUUGUGCUGGACGAUAGGAUUAUUCUUGAUUUCCUACUGGCCUGGCAAAGUGGAGUCUGCACCAUCGCCAAUACCUCUUGCUGUACUUGGAUAAACACCACAGGAAAAGUAGAAUAAGAUAUAAGGAAAAUCCACCAAAAGGCUACUUGGUUAUACUCUAUACCUCCUAGAUAUUUUCAGUUGGUUACCUAAUUGUAUUGGUUCCUGGUUGCAAUCUAUGUUACAAACUAGAAUAGUUAUUUUAAUUGUCACAGUAAUUAUUGUAGGCUUAGCCAAAUGCUCUAUGAAAUGCCUGUGUAAUACUUGUAACAUGCCAAAAACUUUCCUUCCUAUGCAUAGAGUUUUGUAUUUUGAAGAAACUUAUACUCUGCCACAUCCAAUCUGAAAUAGCCUUUCGUUAUAAAACUUUUUACAAACAUUUUUUCAAACACUCUUCAUUUCUUGAAGUGCUGCAUUUUAACCCCAAUUGCCUGAGUGGCCUGGAAUUGUUCCUCCAAUGCGGUCUAGCUGCUGUAACAACCGCAGUAAAUUUAGCUUAUCAAGAAAAACAAAAUAAAUCUGGCCAACCAAAACCCUUUCAGGAAAAUGCGAUCAAAGUCCUUGCAGAAGAAAGUUUUCUCCAUUGUGGGUGAUCGAUGCCCCCUAGCAGGGAAUUGAUCAAAAAGGGGGAAUGUACUAGCAGACUUAAAUUUUUCUGAGAUGUUCACACCAAGCUCCCAAUGAAGGCUUAAUACUCACCACUUAUAAGCAAGCAAGGACAUCUUGUGGUCAUUCCUGGAAAGAGUAUGGCCAGAAUGUCAAAGUCCUGCUCUCAGAAAAUGUUUGCAGAGAUUGUUAUCAGGAAACACGUAAUGAAAAAAGUUAAUUAACUAGUGUUUGGAGAAGACUGCAUUAUAGAUCAUGGUCUCACUUCAAAACCCUAUGGUACUUCCUCAAUUUAGAAUAUAGAAGUACCCUUGUUCUGCAUGCCUGUUGGAGCACUUUGUGUUUUUACCUAGUGCUGCCUAGCUAUAGCUAUUAUUCCUCAACAAAACUCCUUUUCUUUUACUUUGAAGAGAGUACAGGAUUUUCCUAUUUGAAAGGGGUGCAGGGUAAGGAAGGAAGAAGAAGAACAACCCCACAUGCAAUUCAAAGUUUCUCACCUUGCACUAGCUCGACCUGGCCUAUGGCUCUGGGAAAGAGGGGCACGUCUGUUCCUCACUCUUUCUUCACCUCCAUUCCCUCCAUCUUUUCAUUUGGAGCCUAGGAAGAAGAACUGGUAAAUGGGGAAAGCCUUCCCUACCUGGGUCUCCAGUGACAUUGCCAGUGAGACCUAGCCUUCACUGUGGGGUGGGAGUGCCCAGCUGAGGCCUAGUUCAUGCCCUCAGCUUGGAUACAACACAUCCAGCCAUGUCUGAUGAUUUGUGGGACAAACAGCAGGAAGUCAUGAUAUGUAUGCAGGGGUGCAGAGAGUGUGCAGAGGAUGAGGAGGUGACAAAAUAGUAUGGCACCUUCCUUUAGUGGGUCUCUCUGUUUAAGCACUGGAAAUCAUGGAGAAAGAGAGCAGAGCAGUUAUUUUCACCAGAGACUCUGUGAGACAUGGUGCCCAGGACACAGAAGGGGUAGGGACAUGUCUCCCUUCUUCUGCACUGAUGCAGAAUAGCCUUGGUGCCUUUACACACACACACAUCUCUGGCCCCUCAGAGGACAGCUACUCUGGGAGCACACAGAGACAGGCCUCUGGCAAGGAUGCCAGUAUCCUUUUUUGGUCACUGACAGCAAGGCCAAUGCUGGUGCCCUCACAAACAUCAGAGGCAGCUCCCAGAAACUGCAGCAGCAGUGCUGUGUGGGGAUGACGGCCGCUAGACUGAUUUAUGAUUUAUGAGUAUAUGUGAGAUACCUUCUGAGGACUUUAAAAUAUGUCUAAGUGAGACUAACAGGAAGCUUUGAGUUCUUGGUAAGAAGAGGACAGGAGCCUGGAAAACCAGAAUUAUUACUGUUACUAAGAUUCCCUUCCACCCACACAAUUGUGAGGCUCAGAAAAUCUUUGUUCUUUUUUCUCUUUUUGUUUUUCUAUAUAUAGGCUUUUUAAUAGCUUUAUUGAGGUAUAAUUAAUGUACAAAUGUAUACAAUUCAGUAAUUUUGACAUGUGUAGUCUAAACUGACUUGACAGCAACUGGUUUUAUACACCAGUGAAAUGAACACCCUAAUCAAGAUAAUGAACUUAUCCAGUACUCCCAAAAGUUUCCUCAUGCUCUUUUCUAAGUCCUUCCUCCUGCCCUUCCCUGUCUCCCAACCCCAGACAAGGUCUAAUGGUUUCUGUCCCUUUAAACUUGCUUGCAUUUUCUAGAAUUUUGCCUAAGUAGAAUCACUUGGUGUGUAUUCUUUUGUGUCUUGCUUCUUUCAGCAAAAUUUGAGAUUCGUCUAUGUUUUUGUAUGUAUCAAUAGUCAACUCAUUUUUUUUUAUUAACUUUUAUUGAGCUUCAAGUGAACAUUUACAAAUCAAGUCAGUCUGUCACAUAUAAGUUAAUAUACAUCCCACUCCCUACUCCCACCUGCUCUCCCCCUAAUGAGUCAGCCCUUCCAGUUUCUCCUUUCGUGAACACUUUGGCAGCCUCCAACUCUCUCUAUCCUCCCAUCCCCCCUCCAGACAGGAGAUGCCAACACAGUCUCAAGUGUCCACCUGAUAUUAUUAGCUCACUCUUCAUCAGCAUCUCUCUCCCACCCACCGACCAGUCCCUUUCAUGUCUGAUGAAUUCUCUUCGGGGAUGGUUCCCGUCCUGUGCCAACAGAAGUUUUGGGGACCAUGACUGCCGGGAUUCCUCUAGUCACAUCCAGACCAUUAAGUGUGGUCUUUUUAUGAGAAUUUGGGGUCUGCAUCCCACUGAUCUCCUGCUCCCUCAGGGGUUCUCUAUUGUGCUCCCUGUGAGGGCAGUCAUCGAUUGUGGCCAGGCACCAACUAGUUCUUCUGGUCUCAGGAUGAUGUAGGUCUCUGGUUCAUGUGGCCCUUUCUGUCUCUUGGGCUCUUAGUUGUCGUGUGACC